rnacentral:rRNA from 1 species
UACGGGGGGGGCAAGCGUUGUUCGGAAUUACUGGGCGUAAAGGGCCAGUAGGCGGCCAACUAAGUCCGACGUGAAAUCCCAAGGCUUAACCUUGGAACUGCGUCGGAUACUGGAUGGCUUGAAUUCGGGAGAGGGAUGCAGAAUUCCAGGUGUAGCGGUGAAAUGCGUAGAUAUCUGGAGGAACACCGAUGGCGAAGGCAGGUCUCUGGGCAUUAACUGACGCUGAGGAGCGAAAGCAUGGGGAGCGAACAGG